CAGUCUUUCCAGAAGCAACAACCGCUUCCCCUCAUGAGUCAUCCUGUCCCCGGACAGCUUUCUUCACCUCUCUGAUACUGCCCCUCCUGCCCACAGUCAGCAGACAGUUGGUGUAACCAAGGCAGAGAAUUCCUACUGCCUGGCCAGGACCUCUGAAGACACAGAGAACUAGGAAGUCUGGGAUGCUACACCCUGCGCCCUCCCCACCCCCGCAGCUGUUUUCAGAAGUUCUAAUGCAAAGUUAAGACUCUGCUAGCUCCUUCCAUGAAUGAGAGACCUCCAUUGGCAGCUGGCUCUUCGAUGGCUGCCUCAAUGGGAAUCACUCAGAAACUGUCAAUGUCUCAGCCGGUAAAUCUGAGGCCCAGCAAUGGACUCAGAGUCAGUGGCGCCUGACAGCCGCUCAGUGGCUGAAGAAGAAAGGAAGCAGGGGUCUCCACUGGUACAUGAUGGAUGUUCCAGGUCCUAUGGCAGUUGCUGGAGUGAGAAGCAAUCCGUCAUCAAUGUUUCUGGCUGCAGUCUGGUCAAAGUUAAGGUCAGCUAAAGAAAGGACACUUCGCAGUGCGAAUAAAACCCAAGCAGGCA